CAACAACUGAAAGGAGGUGAUCCAGUGUCUCAUUGUCAUUCGUCGCAGUCGGUGACCGUGGCCUGGGCCUCCCUCGAGGCUCGCGCUUAAGCGCUCGAAAGGUUGCGGGCCGCCGCGCUGCGGUCCGACAAUGGAGGGGCCGGUCCCGCGAGGGACCGGC
rnacentral:sRNA from 1 species